rnacentral:rRNA from 1 species
AUUGAACGCUGGCGGCAGGCCUAACACAUGCAAGUCGAGCGGAUGAAGGGAGCUUGCUCCUGGAUUCAGCGGCGGACGGGUGAGUAAUGCCUAGGAAUCUGCCUGGUAGUGGGGGAUAACGUCCGGAAACGGGCGCUAAUACCGCAUACGUCCUGAGGGAGAAAGUGGGGGAUCUUCGGACCUCACGCUAUCAGAUGAGCCUAGGUCGGAUUAGCUAGUUGGUGGGGUAAAGGCCUACCAAGGCGACGAUCCGUAACUGGUCUGAGAGGAUGAUCAGUCACACUGGAACUGAGACACGGUCCAGACUCCUACGGGAGGCAGCAGUGGGGAAUAUUGGACAAUGGGCGAAAGCCUGAUCCAGCCAUGCCGCGUGUGUGAAGAAGGUCUUCGGAUGGUAAAGCACUUUAAGUUGGGAGGAAGGGCAGUAAGUUAAUACCUUGCUGUUUUGACGUUACCAACAGAAUAAGCACCGGCAAACUUCGU